rnacentral:rRNA from 1 species
CGCGGUAAUUCCAGCUCCAAGAGCGUAUAUUAAUACUGCUGUAGUUAAAACGCCCGUAGUAUACCUAAGAGUGGGUGUGUAGCAAUUAGUUUUACCAGAGGACGGUUGGCGAGAGUUUAUCACUCUUGUUUGCCUACUUUUGGUAGACUUUAGUCGGGCUGGAUCUUUGGUCCUCGUCUGACAGUUGCUACGUGCUUACUUACCACGGUUCAUCCGUGAGGCCCUUGGCUUGCAACUGUAAAUAAAUCGUUGUGCUUAAAGCGGGCUAUGAUACUCUGCCAGAGCGAUUUAGCAUGGGACUGCAGAGUAGCUGUAUUUGAGUGAAGGUUGCACCUCGGUGUGGCUGGAGCUUGGUACAGCGCUUGUAAUGGAGCUCAGGGUGAGGCCCCGGGUACCAUGAGGCUAGAGGUGAAAUUCUGAGACCCUCAUGUGACCAACUAAGGCGAAAGCUGUCGUGGGCCACCACAAGCUCGUCUAUCAGGGACGAAAGUUGGGGGAUCGAAGACGAUUAGAUACCGUCGUAGUCCCAGCUAUAAACGAUACCAACCGAGUAUUUGGGAAGACACUAUCCCAGCGAUCUUCUCAGAACUCAAGGGAAACCUUAAGUCUUUGGGUUCUGGGGGGAGUAUAGUCGCAAGACCGAAACUUAAAGGAAUUGACGGAAAGGCACCACCAGGAGUGGAGUCUGCGGCUUAAUUCGACUCAACACGGGGAAACUCACCAGGUCAGGACACAAGUUUGAUUGACAGGUUAAUAGCCCUUUCUUGAUUGUGUGGUGGGUAGUGCAUGGCCGUUUCCAGUUCGUGGAGUGAUCUGUCUUGUUAAUUCAGAUAACGAACGAGACCUAAGCCUUUAACUAGCCGUAGGCCUUUUCCUUCGGGGAAGGGUUAGUUUGUCGGAACAGGCUUCGGUCUGUUCCAAAACCUACGAGACUUUUGUCAGCUUCUUAAAGGGACUUCAUUCGUAAACUAGGAUGAGGAAGAUUUAGGCCAUAACAGGUCUGUGAUGCUCUUAGAUGUCCUGGGCUGCACGCGUACUACAAUAACGGUACCAGCGAGCGCUAUGGUUUUAUAACCCCUUAUCCUAAUAGGAUUGGGAAAACUUUUCAAACACCGUUAUGACAGGGAUCGAGGAUUGGAACAUCCUCGUGAACGAGGAAUUCCUAGUAAGCGUGGUUCAUCAUACCACAUUGAUUACGUCCCUGCCUUUUGUACACACCGCCCGUCGCUCCUACCGAUGGGACGAAGAGAUGAACCUGGCGGACCGAACCGCAAGGUAAGGGAAACCAGUUAAAUCUCUUCGUCUGUAGGAAGGAAAAGUCGUAACAAGGUCU